rnacentral:rRNA from 1 species
ACGGUGACCCUGGGAGCUUGCUCCUGGGUGAUCAGUGGCGAACGGGUGAGUAACACGUGAGUAACCUGCCCCAGACUCUGGGAUAACCCCGGGAAACCGGAGCUAAUACCGGAUAUGACCCUCGGCCGCAUGGUCAGGGGGUGGAAAGUUUUUCGGUCUGGGAUGGACUCGCGGCCUAUCAGCUUGUUGGUGAGGUAGUGGCUCACCAAGGCGACGACGGGUAGCCGGCCUGAGAGGGCGACCGGCCACACUGGGACUGAGACACGGCCCAGACUCCUACGGGAGGCAGCAGUGGGGAAUAUUGCACAAUGGGCGAAAGCCUGAUGCAGCGACGCCGCGUGAGGGAUGACGGCCUUCGGGUUGUAAACCUCUUUCAGCAGGGAAGAAGCGCAAGUGACGGUACCUGCAGAAGAAGCACCGGCUAACUACGUGCCAGCAGCCGCGGUAAUACGUAGGGUGCGAGCGUUGUCCGGAAUUAUUGGGCGUAAAGAGCUUGUAGGCGGUUUGUCGCGUCUGCUGUGAAAAUCCGGGGCUCAACUCCGGACUUGCAGUGGGUACGGGCAGACUAGAGUGUGGUAGGGGAGACUGGAAUUCCUGGUGUAGCGGUGGAAUGCGCAGAUAUCAGGAGGAACACCGAUGGCGAAGGCAGGUCUCUGGGCCACUACUGACGCUGAGAAGCGAAAGCAUGGGGAGCGAACAGG